rnacentral:rRNA from 1 species
UUCCGGUUGAUCCUGCCGGAGGUCAUUGCUAUCGGAGUCCGAUUUAGCCAUGCUAGUCGUGCGGGUUCAGACCCGCGGCGAAUAGCUCAGUAACACGUGGUCAAACUACCCUGCAGAGGAGGAUACCCUCGGGAAACUGAGGACAAUACUCCACACGGGUCCCGAGUUGGAAUACUGGGACCUCGGAACGCCCCGGCGCUGCAGGAUGUGGCUGCGGUCGAUUAGGUAGACGGUGGGGUAACGGCCCACCGUGCCGAUAAUCGGUACGGGUUGUGAGAGCAAGAGCCCGGAGACGGAAUCUGAGACAAGAUUCCGGGCCCUACGGGGCGCAGCAGGCGCGAAACCUUUACACUGCACGCAAGUGCGAUAAGGGGACUCCGAGUGCGAGGGCAUAUCGUCCUCGCUUUUCUGUACCGUAGGAAGGUACAGGAAUAAGAGCUGGGCAAGACCGGUGCCAGCCGCCGCGGUAAUACCGGCAGCUCAAGUGAUGACCGAUUUUAUUGGGCCUAAAGCGUCCGUAGCUGGCCAGACAAGUCCGUCGGGAAAUCCAUCUGCCUAACAGAUGGGCGUCCGGCGGAAACUCUCUGGCUUGGGGCCGGAAGGCUCGAAGGGUACGUCUGGGGUAGGAGUGAAAUCCUGUAAUCCUGGACGGACCACCGAUGGCGAAAGCACUUCGAGAGAACGGAUCCGACAGUGAGGGACGAAAGCUAGGGUCUCGAACCGGAUUAGAUACCCGGGUAGUCCUAGCCGUAAACGAUGCUUGCUAGGUGUGGCACAGGCUACGAGCCUGUGCUGUGCCGUAGGGAAGCCGAGAAGCAAGCCGCCUGGGAAGUACGUCCGCAAGGAUGAAACUUAAAGGAAUUGGCGGGGGAGCACUACAACCGGAGGAGCCUGCGGUUUAAUUGGAGUCAACGCCGGG